rnacentral:tRNA from 2 species
AUCCGUCGACUUUAUAAAUCGUGAGGGUUCAAG